UUAAGCRACUAAGCGUACACGGUGGAUGCCCUGGCAGUCAGAGGCGAUGAAGGACGUGCUAAUCUGCGAUAAGCGUCGGUAAGGUGAUAUGAACCGUUAUAACCGGCGAUUUCCGAAUGGGGAAACCCAGUGUGUUUCGACACACUAUCAUUAACUGAAUCCAUAGGUUAAUGAGGCGAACCGGGGGAACUGAAACAUCUAAGUACCCCGAGGAAAAGAAAUCAACCGAGAUUCCCCCAGUAGCGGCGAGCGAACGGGGAGSAGCCCAGAGYCUGAAUCAGUGUGUGUGUUAGUGGAAGCGUCUGGAAAGGCGCGCGAUACAGGGUGACAGCCCCGUACACAAAAAUGCACAUGCUGUGAGCUCGAUGAGUAGGGCGGGACACGUGGUAUCCUGUCUGAAUAUGGGGGGACCAUCCUCCAAGGCUAAAUACUCCUGACUGACCGAUAGUGAACCAGUACCGUGAGGGAAAGGCGAAAAGAACCCCGGCGAGGGGAGUGAAAAAGAACCUGAAACCGUGUACGUACAAGCAGUGGGAGCACGCUUAGGCGUGUGACUGCGUACCUUUUGUAUAAUGGGUCAGCGACUUAUAUUCUGUAGCAAGGUUAACCGAAUAGGGGAGCCGAAGGGAAACCGAGUCUUAACUGGGCGUUAAGUUGCAGGGUAUAGACCCGAAACCCGGUGAUCUAGCCAUGGGCAGGUUGAAGGUUGGGUAACACUAACUGGAGGACCGAACCGACUAAUGUUGAAAAAUUAGCGGAUGACUUGUGGCUGGGGGUGAAAGGCCAAUCAAACCGGGAGAUAGCUGGUUCUCCCCGAAAGCUAUUUAGGUAGCGCCUCGUGAAUUCAUCUCCGGGGGUAGAGCACUGUUUCGGCAAGGGGGUCAUCCCGACUUACCAACCCGAUGCAAACUGCGAAUACCGGAGAAUGUUAUCACGGGAGACACACGGCGGGUGCUAACGUCCGUCGUGAAGAGGGAAACAACCCAGACCGCCAGCUAAGGUCCCAAAGUCAUGGUUAAGUGGGAAACGAUGUGGGAAGGCCCAGACAGCCAGGAUGUUGGCUUAGAAGCAGCCAUCAUUUAAAGAAAGCGUAAUAGCUCACUGGUCGAGUCGGCCUGCGCGGAAGAUGUAACGGGGCUAAACCAUGCACCGAAGCUGCGGCAGCGACACUGUGUGUUGUUGGGUAGGGGAGCGUUCUGUAAGCCUGUGAAGGUGUACUGUGAGGUAUGCUGGAGGUAUCAGAAGUGCGAAUGCUGACAUAAGUAACGAUAAAGCGGGUGAAAAGCCCGCUCGCCGGAAGACCAAGGGUUCCUGUCCAACGUUAAUCGGGGCAGGGUGAGUCGACCCCUAAGGCGAGGCCGAAAGGCGUAGUCGAUGGGAAACAGGUUAAUAUUCCUGUACUUGGUGUUACUGCGAAGGGGGGACGGAGAAGGCUAUGUUGGCCGGGCGACGGUUGUCCCGGUUUAAGCGUGUAGGCUGGUUUUCCAGGCAAAUCCGGAAAAUCAAGGCUGAGGCGUGAUGACGAGGCACUACGGUGCUGAAGCAACAAAUGCCCUGCUUCCAGGAAAAGCCUCUAAGCAUCAGGUAACAUCAAAUCGUACCCCAAACCGACACAGGUGGUCAGGUAGAGAAUACCAAGGCGCUUGAGAGAACUCGGGUGAAGGAACUAGGCAAAAUGGUGCCGUAACUUCGGGAGAAGGCACGCUGAUAUGUAGGUGAAGUCCCUCGCGGAUGGAGCUGAAAUCAGUCGAAGAUACCAGCUGGCUGCAACUGUUUAUUAAAAACACAGCACUGUGCAAACACGAAAGUGGACGUAUACGGUGUGACGCCUGCCCGGUGCCGGAAGGUUAAUUGAUGGGGUUAGCCGCAAGGCGAAGCUCUUGAUCGAAGCCCCGGUAAACGGCGGCCGUAACUAUAACGGUCCUAAGGUAGCGAAAUUCCUUGUCGGGUAAGUUCCGACCUGCACGAAUGGCGUAAUGAUGGCCAGGCUGUCUCCACCCGAGACUCAGUGAAAUUGAACUCGCUGUGAAGAUGCAGUGUACCCGCGGCAAGACGGAAAGACCCCGUGAACCUUUACUAUAGCUUGACACUGAACAUUGAGCCUUGAUGUGUAGGAUAGGUGGGAGGCUUUGAAGUGUGGACGCCAGUCUGCAUGGAGCCGACCUUGAAAUACCACCCUUUAAUGUUUGAUGUUCUAACGUUGACCCGUAAUCCGGGUUGCGGACAGUGUCUGGUGGGUAGUUUGACUGGGGCGGUCUCCUCCUAAAGAGUAACGGAGGAGCACGAAGGUUGGCUAAUCCUGGUCGGACAUCAGGAGGUUAGUGCAAUGGCAUAAGCCAGCUUGACUGCGAGCGUGACGGCGCGAGCAGGUGCGAAAGCAGGUCAUAGUGAUCCGGUGGUUCUGAAUGGAAGGGCCAUCGCUCAACGGAUAAAAGGUACUCCGGGGAUAACAGGCUGAUACCGCCCAAGAGUUCAUAUCGACGGCGGUGUUUGGCACCUCGAUGUCGGCUCAUCACAUCCUGGGGCUGAAGUAGGUCCCAAGGGUAUGGCUGUUCGCCAUUUAAAGUGGUACGCGAGCUGGGUUUAGAACGUCGUGAGACAGUUCGGUCCCUAUCUGCCGUGGGCGCUGGAGAACUGAGGGGGGCUGCUCCUAGUACGAGAGGACCGGAGUGGACGCAUCACUGGUGUUCGGGUUGUCAUGCCAAUGGCACUGCCCGGUAGCUAAAUGCGGAAGAGAUAAGUGCUGAAAGCAUCUAAGCACGAAACUUGCCCCGAGAUGAGUUCUCCCUGACNGUGGACGCAUCACUGGUGUUCGGGUUGUCAUGCCAAUGGCACUGCCCGGUAGCUAAAUGCGGAAGAGAUAAGUGCUGAAAGCAUCUAAGCACGAAACUUGCCCCG
rnacentral:rRNA from 1 species